UUCAGCCUCUCUUGAUUGUGUUUUGAAUUGUAUUUUGAGUUCUUCCAAAGCCUUUAUCCAAUUUGCUGGAGUUUCUAUUUUUUUUCUUGGUGUUCCUUCAUUCUUCUGUUUCAUUUGCUCUUUGUUCAUUGCCUGGACAGAAACUGUUGAUUGUAAUUUCUUUUUUCUUUUUCUGUUGUUUGUUCAUAUUUACCCCCUUCUUUACUCCCUAUAGUUGCCUGCACUCUUGCUCCUUUUGUGUGUUGGAUCUGUGGUUUUGGGCUUUUCUGUCAGUCUUCCCCCUUGGAGCUUAGUCAGCAAAUCUCUCAGCACAGUCUGUGGGAGAGGGGUGUUGGAGCUUGAGCUUCCCUGCCCUCUGAAAGCUUUGAUGAGAUUAAGCCCAGCUGAGUUGAACUUGCAGAGCUGGAUGUGCCCUGAGGCCAAAACCUCCCGGAAGGAGGUGUGGGGGGGGCAAUAUGGAGUUUUUCCACUGCUGCAACUAGGUUGCCUGCUCUGUGCUUCUUCUUCAACUGCUUCCCCACCACCUGUGUUUGACACUCUGAACCUGGCACAGCUUUGCCCACAAUGGACUCCCUCCAUACCAGCACCCUUGCUUGGCCAGAGGUUCCAGAUUCCUAAAGGAACAAGUUGGAAAACUGCCUGAUGAUUCUCCCUGCGACUUUGGGAGAGCCCAGAUGCAUUCAGCUUUAUGUUCCCUAAAUUUGUGUUAGAGAUGAACCAGCAUGUACAUGUGGACUUGAAAUCCUUCAAAAAGAAGCUGCAUAACCCCCUAUUGGAUAUUGUUGAGGACUCAUAAUUUGUAUGGGGGUCAAGUGAGAUCUCAUGGAUUUGAACCAUGCAAUUCUAUGACUUUAUGAACCCAUAAAGAAACACAAACUAAAAGCCACUCAGUUUUUGAUUAUUUUUAAUAUAUUGGCUUCAAAUUCUUCCCAAAAGGAAUUUCUUAAGGGGGAGGGAAGACACAGAGCUUUUGGAGCUACUAUCAAGACAAAGGAGUUUUAUGAACUGGGAAGUGGCAUAGUCAUUUAUGUAAGCAAAAAUUUUUAUUUUGCCUCACAUUCACUUCUUUAUGGUUUAGAUGAGAAUUUUCCUCCUUGUCAUAACUUAUACUUUAGCAAUAAAUCAUGUUUUUCUCAAAUUGUA